CAUUCCUUCGCGACAACGCAAUCCGACCAAUUCUCCCCCACCAAUGCAGAUGCGGCAGAAUCGGAAACGGCUGCGUUCGUCGUCCAUUUCGGGCCAAAAGGCAACCGUACAGGGCAACUGAGGGAGGCAAAACCCCCGCCCGCUAAACUUUCCGCAUCCAAAACCACGAGCAAUGGACAUAUGGGCCAACGCAACCAGUUCGUGGCAUGCGUGGAACACAUGCAUCGCUACGAGGUCGGCCCCAUGCCAUGACAGGCAAAGGGCGAAGGGGAGCAAGCAAGCAUCGUAAUCGAUUUCCACCAUGGUGGGUAAGCAGCACAGGAACCUAGCGUCACCACGAAAAAAGUUUCGGGCAAUUGUACAUGAAGGCACCGCGGGAAAAUAGUUCGGUGCGCGAAGCAUGGAGCCUACAUUCCCAAACGAUCCUAACACCACUCACGCGC
rnacentral:misc_RNA from 1 species